rnacentral:rRNA from 1 species
ACGGCUCAGUAACACGUGGACAACCUACCCUGAGGUCGGGGAUAAACCCGGGAAACUGGGUAUAAUACCCGAUAGAUCUAGAUCGCUGGAAUGCUUUUAGGUCUAAAGUUCCGACGCCUCAGGAUGGGUCUGCGGCCUAUCAGGGUAGUAGUGGGUGUAAAGUACCUACUAGCCUACGACGGGUACGGGUUGUGAGAGCAAGAGCCCGGAGAUGGAUUCUGAGACACGAAUCCAGGCCCUACGGGGUGCAGCAGGCGCGAAACCUUUACAAUGCUGGCAACAGCGAUAAGGGGACCUCGAGUGCUACGAUACAAUCGUGGCUGUCUAGUUGCCUAAAAAGCAAUUGAUAGCAAGGGCCGGGCAAGACCGGUGCCAGCCGCCGCGGUAACACCGGCGGCUCGAGUGGUAACCGCUAUUAUUGGGUCUAAAGGGUCUGUAGCCGGCUUAGUUAGUCUCUUGAGAAAUCUGGCCGCUCAACGGUCAGGCGUUCAGGGGAUACUGCUAAAGCUCGAGACCGGGAGAGGUGAGAGGUACUUCCGGGGUAGGGGUGAAAUCUUGUAAUCCUUGAAGGACCACCAGUGGCGAAGGCGUCUCACCAGAACGGAUCUGACGGCAAGGGACGAAAGCUAGGGGCACGAACCGGAUUAGAUACCCGGGUAGUCCUAGCCGUAAACGAUACUCGCUAGGUGUCGGCCACGGUGCGACCGUGGUCGGUGCCGUAGGGAAGCCGUGAAGCGAGCCACCUGGGAAGUACGGCCGCAAGGCUGAAACUUAAAGGAAUUGGCGGGGGAGCAC